rnacentral:rRNA from 1 species
AUUGAACGCUGGCGGCAGGCCUAACACAUGCAAGUCGAACGAGUGGCGGACGGGUGAGUAAUGUCUGGGAAACUGCCCGAUGGAGGGGGAUAACUACUGGAAACGGUAGCUAAUACCGCAUACCAUCGGAUGUGCCCAGAUGGGAUUAGCUAGUAGGUGGGGUAACGGCUCACCUAGGCGACGAUCCCUAGCUGGUCUGAGAGGAUGACCAGCCACACUGGAACUGAGACACGGUCCAGACUCCUACGGGAGGCAGCAGUGGGGAAUAUUGCACAAUGGGCGCGAGCCUGAUGCAGCCAUGCCGCGUGUAUGAAGAAGGCCUUCGGGUUGUAAAGUACUUUCGGUACAGAACGGGUAUGUGCAGAAGAAGCGCCGGCUAACUACGUGCCAGCAGCCGCGGUAAUAC